rnacentral:rRNA from 1 species
GGCGAACGCUGGCGGCGUGCUUAACACAUGCAAGUCGAACGAUGAAGCCGGAGCUUGCUCUGGCGAAUUAGUGGCGAACGGGUGAGUAACACGUGAGUAACCUGCCCUUGACUCUGGGAUAACUGCGGGAAACUGUAGCUAAUACCGGAUACGACCCUCGGAGGCAUCUCCUGGGGGUGGAAAGAAUUUCGGUCAAGGAUGGACUCGCGGCCUAUCAGCUAGUUGGUGAGGUAAAGGCUCACCAAGGCGACGACGGGUAGCCGGCCUGAGAGGGUGACCGGCCACACUGGGACUGAGACACGGCCCAGACUCCUACGGGAGGCAGCAGUGGGGAAUAUUGCACAAUGGGCGCAAGCCUGAUGCAGCAACGCCGCGUGAGGGAUGACGGCCUUCGGGUUGUAAACCUCUUUUAGCAGGGAAGAAGCGAAAGUGACGGUACCUGCAGAAAAAGCACCGGCUAACUACGUGCCAGCCGCCGCAGUAA